GUACGUAGGGGGCAAGCGUUGUCCGGAUUAUUGGCGUAAAGAGCGUGUAGGCGGCUAGGUAGGUCCGUUGUGAAAACUCGAGGCUCAACCUCGAGACGCCGAUGGAAACCAUCUGGCUAGAGUCCGGAAGAGGAGAGUGGAAUUCCUGGUGUAGCGGUGAAAUGCGCAGAUAUCAGGAAGAACACCCGUGGCUAAGGCGGCUCUCUAGUACGGUACUGACGCUGAGACGCGAAAGCGUGGGGAGCGAACAGG
rnacentral:rRNA from 1 species